rnacentral:rRNA from 1 species
GACGAACGCUGGCGGCGUGCUUAACACAUGCAAGUCGAACGGAAAGGCCCUGCUUUUGUGGGGUGCUCGAGUGGCGAACGGGUGAGUAACACGUGAGUAACCUGCCCUUGACUUUGGGAUAACUUCAGGAAACUGGGGCUAAUACCGGAUAGGAGCUCCUGCUGCAUGGUGGGGGUUGGAAAGUUUCGGCGGUUGGGGAUGGACUCGCGGCUUAUCAGCUUGUUGGUGGGGUAGUGGCUUACCAAGGCUUUGACGGGUAGCCGGCCUGAGAGGGUGACCGGCCACAUUGGGACUGAGAUACGGCCCAGACGCCUACGGGAGGCAACAGUGGGGAAUAUUGCACAAUGGGCGGAAGCCUGAUGCAGCAACGCCGCGUGCGGGAUGACGGCCUUAGGGUUGUAAACCGCUUUCGCCUGUGACGAAGCGUGAGUGACGGUAAUGGGGAAAGAAGCACCGGCUACCUACGU